rnacentral:rRNA from 1 species
GACGAACGCUGGCGGCGUGCUUAACACAUGCAAGUCGAACGGAAAGGCCCGCCACCUUAGUGGUGGGUACUCGAGUGGCGAACGGGUGAGUAACACGUGGGUGAUCUGCCCCGCACUGUGGGAUAAGCCUGGGAAACUGGGUCUAAUACCACAUACGACCAUGGCGUAGGGGUCAUGGUGGAAAGCUUUCGCGGUGUGGGAUGAGCCCGCGGCCUAUCAGCUUGUUGGUGGGGUAAUGGCCUACCAAGGCGGCGACGGGUAGCCGGCCUGAGAGGGUGGACGGCCACAUUGGGACUGAGACACGGCCCAGACUCCUACGGGAGGCAGCAGUGGGGAAUAUUGCACAAUGGGCGCAAGCCUGAUGCAGCGACGCCGCGUGGGGGAUGGAAGGCCUUCGGGUUGUAAACUCCUUUCGCCCGGGACGAAGCCCACCUUGGUGGGGACGUACCGGAGAAGAAGCACCG